UAGGGAAUCUUCGGCAAUGGACGAAAGUCUGACCGAGCAACGCCGCGUGAGUGAAGAAGGUUUUCGGAUCGUAAAGCUCUGUUGUAAGAGAAGAACGGGUGUGAGAGUGGAAAGUUCACACUGUGACGGUAUCUUACCAGAAAGGGACGGCUAACUACGUGCCAGCAGCCGCGGUAAUACGUAGGUCCCGAGCGUUGUCCGGAUUUAUUGGGCGUAAAGCGAGCGCAGGCGGUUAGAUAAGUCUGAAGUUAAAGGCUGUGGCUUAACCAUAGUACGCUUUGGAAACUGUUUAACUUGAGUGCAGAAGGGGAGAGUGGAAUUCCAUGUGUAGCGGUGAAAUGCGUAGAUAUAUGGAGGAACACCGGUGGCGAAAGCGGCUCUCUGGUCUGUAACUGACGCUGAGGCUCGAAAGCGUGGGGAGCGAACAGGAUUAGAUACCCUGGUAGUCCACGCCGUAAACGAUGAGUGCUAGGUGUUAGGCCCUUUCCGGGGCUUAGUGCCGCAGCUAACGCAUUAAGCACUCCGCCUGGGGAGUACGACCGCAAGGUU
rnacentral:rRNA from 1 species